rnacentral:tRNA from 2 species
GGAAGAGUGCCAGAGCGGCCGAAUGGGACGGUCUCGAAAACCGUUGUGGAUGCAAGUUCACCGUGGGUUCAAAUCCCACCUCUUCCGCCA